rnacentral:ncRNA from 1 species
GAUUUAUCAAGAAAGGUGGAGGGAUUUGGCCCUAUGAAACCUUAGCAACCAACAUUCUUCUAAAAGUGUAAUGGUGCUAAUUCCAACCCAUCUGGGGGAAGAUAAGUA